rnacentral:rRNA from 1 species
CCUANGGGUGGCAGCAGUCGGGAAUAUUGGGCAAUGGGCGCAAGCCUGACCCAGCGACGCCGCGUGAGGGAUGAAGGCCUUCGGGUCGUAAACCUCUGUCGGGAGGGAAGAAUGGCGGUGAGGCGAAUAGUCUCGCUGUCUGACGGUACCAUAUGAAUAAGCACCGGCUAACUCCGUGCCAGCAGCCGCGGUAAUACGGAGGGUGCAAGCGUUAUCCGGAUUCACUGGGUUUAAAGGGUGCGUAGGUGGGUUGGUAAGUCAGUGGUGAAAUCCCCGAGCUUAACUUGGGAACUGCCAUUGAUACUAUCAGUCUUGAAUACCGUGGAGGUUAGCGGAAUAUGUCAUGUAGCGGUGAAAUGCUUAGAUAUGACAUAGAACACCAAUUGCGAAGGCAGCUGGCUACACGAAUAUUGACACUGAGGCACGAAAGCGUGGGGAUCAAACAGGAUUAGAUACCCUANUANUC